rnacentral:tRNA from 1 species
GCGCGCGUAGCUUAGUUGGUAAAGCAGUGCACUUUUAAUGCAUUGAGCGGAGGUUCGAGUCCUCCCGCGCGUA